UAAUGCUUUAACUCUGCCACUCGCACGGAGUAAUGCCUCCCCCGGUCGACGAGGGCGGACGGUGAGUAAUGCAUCGGAAUCUACCCUUUCGUGGGGGGAUAAUGUGGGGAAACUAACGCUAAUACCGCAUACGUCCUACGGGGGAAAGCGGGGGAUCCUAAGGCCUGGCGUGUUUUGGGUGGCCCCAUUUCGGAUUAGCUGGUUGGUGGGGUAAUGGCUCACCAAGGCGGUGAUCGAUAGCUGGUCCAAGAGAAGGAUCAGCCACCCCUGGGACUGAGACCCGGCCCAGCACUCUACGGGAGGCAGCAGUGGGGAAUAUUCGACAAUGGGCAGAAUCCUAAACCAACCAUUCCGCGUGUGUGAGGAAGGCUUUCGGGUUGUAAAGCACUUUGGAUUGGGAUGAAAUCACUCCUGUUAAUAGCCCGGUAGACUGACGGUACCUACAGAAGAAGCACCGGCUAACUUCGUGCCAGCAGCCGCGGUAAUACGGAGGGUGCAAGCGUUUCUCGGAAUUACUGGGCGUAAAGCGUGCGUAGGCGGUUUCUAAGUCUGAGGUGAAAUCCCUGGGCUCAACCUGGGAACUGCAUUGGAUACUGGGAAACUAGAGUUUAUAGAGUAAGAGUGGAAUCACCGGUAAGACU
rnacentral:rRNA from 2 species